GCUGCCCGCGCCCCGGGGCGCCUCCCGCCCACGCCGCCCGGAGCCCCCCAGCCACGCCACGCCCACCCCGCCGGGCGCCUCCCGAGGGGCGCGGGGACCCGGUGGGCGCGUCCCCCGCCGCCUGUGUCGUAAAGACCUUUCCCUUCUCGCUGCCUGUCCCCUUGCCUUGCGGAGGACUUUGCCGGAUUUAGGGUUCGAGUCUUGAUGGCAGAUGUAGGGUGUGAGAUCGUUCGCUCCACAGCGGACAGAGAGGGGGAAAAACGUAAAUAAACCCAAAGGAGCCGGCGGCCCCAGGGGAGCCUGGGCCAUUUUAGAGUGGGGCAGCCCCUGUGGUCAGGUCAUUUUGUAGUUCUUGCACCAGGACGUGGCCGGGUUCUGAGACCCGCGGGCCGCCGUUCUCGUGCACGUGGUCGGAGCUCCUGGCUUCGGAUUCGGCUGAGGACACAAGCAUAGAAGACGCUCCACGGCUGAACGCUCCGGUUAAAGGGCACAUUGUGGUCUAAUUUGACUUGACUAACUCAGAGCUAUGGUAAAAUCUCCAUAGGCAGGAAUUCUAGGAAUUGUUUUAAAUAUUUUUUUUUUGCAGAUGGUUCUCCAGAGGACAUUUUAAAAACACACAAACAAACACACAUGGACUUUGGUGGCCAGUAGGAUUUGUCACUCAGUGAUCAAGACAGCUAACUCUAAGGCAGUGGUUCUCUAAGCGUGCUUCCCAGGCCAGCAGCGUCGACCUCAGCUCUGAACUUGCAGAAAUGGAAAUUCACAGCAGGUGCUGAAGGUUACCUGACCUGGCUGGAUCUUACUGAAUAUCUACGGAAUGAACUCGUCUUUACAACAUCGUGAGCAAGGCUUUUAGGAUGAAACACGGACCACCCUGGCCGUGGCCUUCUGGAACUUGCAACUGAGAAGAUCCCAUAACUGAGGAACACCUACCUCACUUCCGUGUGGAAGACAGACUCUUUCCUUCCCUCUGAGGGAGCUCCACGAGGGUAACGCGUCUGGCCUCCGCUGUCCCCUCGAUGGAGAAGGCCUUCAUUUGGAAGGAGAACCUGGUCAUGUGAAGCCUGUCUCUGUCUCUCUUGGGGCCAGCUCACCGGCCAAGAGGGGGGCUCUGCCCCUUCAGGCCACAUGUGUGGUAGGGCCCAGCCCCAGCUGGGAGGCCCACGUGGUGCAGGGCCACCUCUGGGAGGGCGGCAUACCCCUCUAAUUCUGUGGUUCUAGGAUGUCCACCUGCCCGCAGAUGUAGGCCACAUUCCCAUCAGCUGCUUUAGCACAAGAAAGCUUUCCAGUGUUUCUCCACUGUUUUGAAACCAGGGUGGGAAAGAGGAGCGUUCUGUAUUAGGUGCCUUCACACUAUAAAGGCACCCCUAGUCUCUCCCCCAGGCUGCCCACACAAGCGGAAAGCAAUGGCUGUCCCUCCAGUGCCAUCAGACUGCCAGAAACUUCCUGCUUGGACUCUCCCAAUGCCUCCUGAGACAACGAAACCUUUCUUCAUUAAAGACUUCAGUGGGGCACCUGGGUGGCUCAGUCAACUGAGCGUCCGACUUAGGCUCAGCUCGGGAUCUCGCAGGU